rnacentral:rRNA from 1 species
UGGCGGCGUGCUUUACACAUGCAAGUCGAGCGAUGAGAUCCCUUCGGGGAUGGAUUAGCGGCGAACGGGUGAGGAACACGUGAAGAAUCUGCCUUCAACUCUGGGAUAACACCGGGAAACCGGUGCUAAUACCGGAUAUGAGCCUUGAUCGCAUGAUCGGGGCUGGAAAGUUUUUCGGUUGAAGAUGACUUUGCGGCCUAUCAGCUAGUUGGUGAGGUAAUGGCUCACCAAGGCGACGACGGGUAGCCGGCCUGAGAGGGCGACCGGCCACACUGGGACUGAGACACGGCCCAGACUCCUACGGGAGGCAGCAGUGGGGAAUAUUGGGCAAUGGACGAAAGUCUGACCCAGCGACGCCGCGUGCGGGAUGAAGGCCUUCGGGUUGUAAACCGCUUUCAGCAGGGAAGAAGCGAAAGUGACGGUACCUGCAGAAGAAGCACCGGCUAACUAUGUGCCAGCAGCCGCGGUAAUACAUAGGGUGCAAGCGUUGUCCGGAAUUAUUGGGCGUAAAGAGUUCGUAGGUGGUUAGUUACGUCGGAUGUGAAAAUCUAGGGCUCAACCCUAGACCUGCAUCCGAUACGGGCUAGCUUGAGUUUGGUAGGGGAGACUGGAAUUCCUGGUGUAGCGGUGGAAUGCGCAGAUAUCAGGAGGAACACCAAUGGCGAAGGCAGGUCUCUGGGCCAAUACUGACACUGAGGAGCGAAAGUGUGGGGAGCGAACAGGAUUAGAUACCCUGGUAGUCCACACAGUAAACGAUGGGCACUAGUUGUGGGAACCUUCCACGGUUUCUGCGACGCAGCUAACGCAUUAAGUGCCCCGCCUGGGGAGUACGAUCGCAAGAUUA